rnacentral:rRNA from 1 species
UUUCCGUAGGUGAACCUGCGGAAGGAUCAUUGUCGAUGCGUUGGGAGAACGAAGCGAAUCGGUGACAAGAUCGUAGGGUGGCCUAGGGGCGCAGCUGGUUGCCUCUGUCGGGCCCCCUCUCCCUUUGCGCUCGUCUUUCCCGCCUCCCCCUGCCCGCGGGGGGCAAGCCGGGUCCGCACGAGCCUUCAACGAACCCUCGACGCGGGCCGCGUCAAGGACUACCGGAUUGACCAUCACAGGGCGCGACCCUAGCUUGGGCUCGCCUACGUGCGAUACGCAUGCUUUUUUCGCGUCCCUGUCGGAACAAGAUGACGACGACUCUCGGCAACGGAUAUCUAGGCUCUCGCAUCGAUGAAGAACGUAGCGAAAUGCGAUACUUGGUGUGAAUUGCAGAAUCCCGUGAACCAUCGAGUCUUUGAACGCAAGUUGCGCCCGGAGCCGUCAGGCCGAGGGCACGCCUGCCUGGGCGUCGCACGUACAUUCUAUCCUAUGCCCGCACCUUCCCGGAUGCGCGGUUCGUGGAGUUGGAUAUUGGCCAUCCGUGCGGUGGAAUCACGGUUGGCUUGACGUCUGCGUGCACGCGCGUCCGCAUCACGACGGGUGGUGAUCGUUCUUGAGAUGCCCGCGUACGUCGUGAUCGCCGCGUUGCGUUUUCCCAUUGGUCGCCCGGUGGAAUGCCCGUGCCUUCCCCAACCGUACGGACCCCAGGUCAGGCGAGGCCACCCGCUGAGUUUAA